CAACAAAAAGAGAAAAGGCCCACCCAGCACCUUCCUCGAUCCAACCGGCGACACGCCCUCCGCACCGACCCCAACCGGCACUGCUGCUGCCACCUCACACCCAUCGGAGACGCAGCCGCCGCCCCGCCCCGACCGGAGACCCUGCCGCCGCCCGGCCAUGCCCCAACUGGAGACGCGACCACUGCCCCGCCACGCCACAUCCGGAGGCGCCGCCGCCCACAUCUAGUCCUGCACUUCACUCCCCCUCGAUCCCCCCGCUAGCAUGAGCCCCUGCCCCGCCGCUCCCUUCCCAGGAUCCAGCCGCCGUCCUGCCAUCCUUCCCCGGCGGCAUGCACCGCCACCCCCACCUUCCUCCUCCGGCCAGGUGCGCUGCCACGAUGCGACCCCCAGCCAGCACACGCCACUGCCUCCACCUCCCCCUCACACAACACCUCCGCCACGACGCACCCCCUGCAAGUUCGCGCCACCGGCCACACCUUCCUUCCGCGUCAGCACGCACCGGCGCGACGCAUCCCGCCGCCUAGCAUCCCGGUGCAACAUCCGGUGAUCCACCGACCCGCAACCCUGCGCUCGACCACACCCGGUACCUGAUCGAGCCCCCGGAGAACAUCCACACGAGCACGUGUGUUCAAUUUCUGCAUUUCUGCUACUGAAAACAGAGGAGAACGGCUGCUAAGAUUUUCUCUGAACUUCCUUGUUCUUUGUGACGAGACCUGCUCAACUCUCCCUUUAUGAACUCCUGCAAAACAAUUUUAUUUAUCUUUUCAUCUUUAUCUUUCUGAACUGAAUUGGACUGGGUUGUGUCAUAUUCUUAUCAAUUUUCCCAUCUGAAAAUGGUAUGAUAUGAAGGAACAGUCUAGGUGGACGAGAAUUUCAAGUUCAUUUAUGACUGCAGAUACUUUGAUUUUUAUUUUCAAGUAUUAAAUUUCUUGGAUAAAUCACCUCUGCCAACGCCUCGCCGAUCAUCAUCCCAAAGUUCACCUCUGUCAACGCUGCCGUUCAGUUGUUGAGGCAAAGCCAUCCUCAAGACACAGAAGAUACGCACUCGAUUAGCAAACUCCACAAGUGAUUUGCACAAACACUUCACCUGGAGGUAUUGACCUGCAGCAUGCCGCGUCUGCCGCUGCCGCCGAGGUCCCCCCACAUAUAGCCGACGCUACGGCAACCACCCCCCACCACUAUCUGUUGCCGAUGCGUGCAACCACGUCCAGCCGCCCACUGAACGUGGGCACAGAGGCAGGGCCACGCUGAGAGCUCGAGAUCCACCACCCGCAGCCGCUUCCCCUGCAGGUUGCGGUGAAAAAACAAAAGGCAGAAGUUCAAAGAUGAAAUUUGAAGAAGGAAAUAUACAACAAUCAAAGAAGUGGCGGUCUCAUUACAUAGAAGGAGAACGCCUUGCGAGCCAGCCGAGUUGACUUCUGCCAUCGGCACUGCGUAAUAAUCACUGGAUUCCCAUGGCCACCGGCGCUGGAUAAUUAGCACUGAACGACUUGCAAUCCAGAAGAAAGUUGCGCCCAUAACCCGUG